GGGGGUUUAGCUCAUAUGGUAGAGCGCUUGCUUCGCAUGCGAGAGGCACAAGGUUCAAUUCCCUGCACUUCCA
rfam:Ipomoea nil DNA, scaffold: scaffold2403, cultivar: Tokyo-kokei standard.